UACGUAGGGGCUAGCGUUGUCCGGAAUCAUUGGGCGUAAAGAGCGUGUAGGCGGUCCGGUAAGUCCGCUGUGAAAGUCGGGGCUCAACCCUCGAAUGCCGGUGGAUACUGUCGGGCUAGAGUACGGAAGAGGCGAGUGGAAUUCCUGGUGUAGCGGUGAAAUGCGCAGAUAUCAAGGAGGAACACCUAUUGCGAAGGCAGCUCGCUGGGACGUAACUGACGCUGAGACGCGAAA
rnacentral:rRNA from 1 species